UUUACAAUAUAUUACUUAUUUUAUUAAUGGUUUAUUUUCUUAAAUUCCAUUACCAGGAAAGUAUGGAUCCAAAGUUCAAAGCCAUAUCCAAUUAGCUUGUCUCUCAAAAAACUAAAAGGAAUGCUAAAGAUGACUACUGAUUUUGGACGGCACCCAGAUUUCCGUAAAAAGUUAGAUGUGGAACAACUAGCAAAUUCUGUUUGUAGUUGGCCUGGUAUCAAAUAUAAUGUUUCAAACUGCAAAUCGGGAACUCUCUGGUUAAUUAUAUUGUUUCCCUAUUCAUGUCCACAUGGGAAGAUGAAAGAACGCAUUUGCCAUUUUUAAAGGACGUACUUGCUAUUUUCUGAAGAAAAAAAAACUUCACUGUUGGCUGGCUUCUCUGAUGGUAGUUUUACCUAUCUAGCAAAUGAAAGGGCUUCUCAUAAUUCAAUAAAUAAAGACCAAUUGAGUCAAUUACAUAUAGUUGGUUGUAAAUAACAUUCAAUUUCUAGCUUACAACGGAA